UACGUAGGGUGCAGGCGUUAAUCGGAAUUACUGGGCGUAAAGCGUGCGUAGGUGGUUUGUUAAGUCUGUUGUGAAAGCCCCCGGGCUCAACCUGGGAAUGGCAAUGGAUACUGGCAGGCUAGAGUGCGGUAGAGGGUAGUGGAAUUCCCGGUGUAGCGGUGAAAUGCGCAGAUAUCAGGAGGAACACCGAUGGCGAAGGCAGGUCUCUGGGCCACUACUGACGCUGAGAAGCGAAAGCAUGGGGAGCAAACAGG
rnacentral:rRNA from 1 species